rnacentral:rRNA from 1 species
GAGCGGCGGACGGGUGAGUAAUGCAUAGGAAUCUGCCCGAUAGUGGGGGAUAACCUGGGGAAACCCAGGCUAAUACCGCAUACGUCCUACGGGAGAAAGGGGGCUCCGGCUCCCGCUAUUGGAUGAGCCUAUGUCGGAUUAGCUAGUUGGUGAGGUAAAGGCUCACCAAGGCAACGAUCCGUAGCUGGUCUGAGAGGAUGAUCAGCCACAUCGGGACUGAGACACGGCCCGAACUCCUACGGGAGGCAGCAGUGGGGAAUAUUGGACAAUGGGCGCAAGCCUGAUCCAGCCAUGCCGCGUGUGUGAAGAAGGCCUUCGGGUUGUAAAGCACUUUCAGCGAGGAAGAACGCCUAGUGGUUAAUACCCAUUAGGAAAGACAUCACUCGCAGAAGAAGCACCGGCUAACUCCGUGCCAGCAGCCGCGGUAAUACGGAGGGUGCGAGCGUUAAUCGGAAUUACUGGGCGUAAAGCGCGCGUAGGUGGCUUGAUAAGCCGGUUGUGAAAGCCCCGGGCUCAACCUGGGAACGGCAUCCUGGAACUGUCAAGCUAGAGUGCAGGAGAGGAAGGUAGAAUUCCCGGUGUAGCGGUGAAAUGCGUAGAGAUCGGGAGGAAUACCAGUGGCGAAGGCGGCCUUCUGGACUGACACUGACACUGAGGUGCGAAAGCGUGGGUAGCAAACAGGAUUAGAUACCCUGGUAGUCCACGCCGUAAACGAUGUCGACCAGCCGUUGGGUGCCUAGCGCACUUUGUGGCGAAGUUAACGCGAUAAGUCGACCGCCUGGGGAGUACGGCCGCAAGGUUAAAACUCAAAUGAAUUGACGGGGGCCCGCACAAGCGGUGGAGCAUGUGGUUUAAUUCGAUGCAACGCGAAGAACCUUACCUACUCUUGACAUCCUGCGAACUUGUGAGAGAUCACUUGGUGCCUUCGGGAACGCAGAGACAGGUGCUGCAUGGCUGUCGUCAGCUCGUGUUGUGAAAUGUUGGGUUAAGUCCCGUAACGAGCGCAACCCUUGUCCUUAUUUGCCAGCACGUAAUGGUGGGAACUCUAAGGAGACUGCCGGUGACAAACCGGAGGAAGGUGGGGACGACGUCAAGUCAUCAUGGCCCUUACGAGUAGGGCUACACACGUGCUACAAUGGCCGGUACAAAGGGUUGCCAACUCGCGAGAGUGAGCUAAUCCCGAAAAGCCGGUCUCAGUCCGGAUCGGAGUCUGCAACC